GCUAUCUGUGACCACUAACCAAAGAAUUGAAAAGGAGAACACAAAAAAGGAGGGAGUAGAAUGAAACAAGAAAAAUUGGUAAAUACCAUUUGGGUCUUGUUCGAAAAAGACAGAAGUAUCUACCGUCAACGAAGCAGCAGAGACACAAAAUAUCAUGCAGAACAUAUAUCCCUUUGCCUAGGAUGAAAGGAUGAUCAUUCAGGUUCCUUCCAGCCCUUGAAUCAGCAAUGUGGGCACUGAUCGCCUUCUCAGAUGCCAUAGGAUUGUGAGCUACAUUUGUGAAUGUGGAAGACCACUGGCUCCAAUCUGAAUUUAAGGAUAUACUCUGCAAUAUAAGUGCCAAGUGGUCAUCAAACCUUUGAUGGAGGACUUCUAGCUAGGAGGAAUCUACUUCCUCUUGAGGUUUUGCCCAGUGACAGCCAGCCUCAUCAAAGAAACGGAAAGUUAGGAAGAUGAAGAAAUGAAUCUGCCUAACAACAUUUUCAAAUAAAGCAGUAGAGGAUUCCAAAAAUUAAGAACUGGGAAAAAAGCAAACAAUAAAAAAUCUGUCUAUCCCUAGCUUGAGUGUGAUUUCCAACUCUUGUCCUAAUGCAGGUUUUUUUGGUGGUCGUUCAGUCAUUU